UUGCUCUCUUUCGCAGCAAAUAUACUAAAAUUGGAACAUUAUUACAGAGAUUAGUAUGGCCCCUAAGCAAGGAGACAUGCAAAUUGGUGAAAUGUUUCAUAAUUUU